rnacentral:rRNA from 1 species
CAGUAGCGUAUAUUAAAGUUGUUGCAGUUAAAAUGCUCGUAGUUGAAGUUCGGAUGCAGCAGAGCUUGGAAACGCUGUUAUGGUGCUUCCGUUGCUUUUGCUUGUCCACAGUGCGUUGCAAGUACGUAUGUGCUUGUGCGUGCAUUUUACUUUGAAAAACAUAGGGUGUUCCACGCAUGUUACGGCAUGAAUAUUCCAGCAUGGGAUAAUCUGGUACGACUUCCAAUCUGCCAUUUUGGUUCGUAGGUUGGAAGUAAUGAUUAAUAGGGACUGUCGGGGGCAUUGGUAUUUGACUGUCAGAGGUGAAAUUCUUAGAUUCGUUGAGGACCAACCACUGCGAAAGCAUUUGUCAAGGAUGUCUCCAUUAA